CUCUUGGAUGGACCUGCGGUGCAUUAGCUAGUUGGUAAGGUAACGGCUUACCAAGGCAAUGAUGCAUAGCCGAGUUGAGAGACUGAUCGGCCACAUUGCGACUGAGACACGGCCCAAACUCCUACGGGAGGCAGCAGUAGGGAAUCUUCCACAAUGGACGCAAGUCUGAUGGAGCAACGCCGCGUGAGUGAAGAAGGGUUUCGGCUCGUAAAGCUCUGUUGGUAGUGAAGAAAGAUAGAGGUAGUAACUGGCCUUUAUUUGACGGUAAUUACCUAGAAAGUCACGGCUAACUACGUGCCAGCAGCCGCGGUAAUACGUAGGUGGCAAGCGUUGUCCGGAUUUAUUGGGCGUAAAGCGAGUGCAGGCGGUUCAAUAAGUCUGAUGUGAAAGCCUUCGGCUCAACCGGAGAAUUGCAUCAGAAACUGUUGAACUUGAGUGCAGAAGAGGAGAGUGGAACUCCAUGUGUAGCGGUGGAAUGCGUAGAUAUAUGGAAGAACACCAGUGGCGAAGGCGGCUCUCUGGUCUGCAACUGACGCUGAGGCUCGAAAGCAUGGGUAGCGAACAGGAUUAGAUACCC
rnacentral:rRNA from 1 species